GACGAACGCUGGCGGCGUGCCUAAUACAUGCAAGUUGAGCGAUGAAGAUUGGUGCUUGCACCAAUUUGAAGAGCAGCGAACGGGUGAGUAACGCGUGGGGAAUCUGCCUUUGAGCGGGGGACAACAUUUGGAAACGAAUGCUAAUACCGCAUAAUAACUUUAAACAUAAGUUUUAAGUUUGAAAGAUGCAAUUGCAUCACUCAAAGAUGAUCCCGCGUUGUAUUAGCUAGUUGGUGAGGUAAAGGCUCACCAAGGCGAUGAUACAUAGCCGACCUGAGAGGGUGAUCGGCCACAUUGGGACUGAGACACGGCCCAAACUCCUACGGGAGGCAGCAGUAGGGAAUCUUCGGCAAUAGACGGAAGUCUGACCGAGAAACGCCGAGUGAGUGAAGAAGGUUUUCGGAUCGUAAAACUCGGUUGGUAGAGAAGAACGUUGGUGAGAGUGGAAAGCUCAUCAAGUGACGGUAACUACCCAGAAAGGGACGGCUAACUACGUG
rnacentral:rRNA from 1 species